AUAAACAAACAUCCACUAAACUGUUUACAACAGCCUAUUAAAUGUGACCUCUAAAGGCGUACUGUAAGCUUGGUGCUCACUUAGCAGUGUUGCCUCGAUGACUGAACAACAGUAACUAUUUGACCUUUGGCAGAAAAACUGAAAAAGACACAGAUUUGUUUCAGCCACCUGGAUGAAAAUGUGUUUGGCUCCGCCACUAAAGUCUGGGUGAGAUAAUUCUACUUGUUGCUAUGCAGAUUCGUUAGUUUCGGGGAUUUCUGAGACAUAAAAUGUUCAACAAGGCAACACAGAUUAGACUGACGGAUUCCUGAAACUAAAGAAACCAGUUGAUUUUCAGGAUAUUCUUAAUCUCAUCACAGUAAUCAUUUGAAUUGUGAUGCAACUAUAAGCAACAGAAUGUAAUGAAGAACUAAAGUCAAGUUAGAAUGGAUAUUUGGCUUAGUGGUGUGUUAGGAUGAAACACAAUUUACACCUGUUACGUUCAGGUCCAGUAUCCGCUGCAGCUGAGGACAAACUACACAUUAAGGGAUACGUCACCUUCCCUUUUAUUCCUCGCCACGCCUGAAUCAGUCGCUGCUGCCUCUUCACCUCAUCCAUAGCGUAAAGUGUUGUAAUGGAGUUCCAGUGUCUUUCUGUCCAGUGACACGUUUCAAAGCAUCAUGAUUUUGGUGUUGGAGUUUUAGUGAGUAGAUGACCACAGCACUAGAACUCGUAUCCGGUUCUGUCUUUGCAAUACAACUGUCUUCCUGAGUCCUCGGUGACGCAACAGGACAAAGCAGGACACACGUGGAAUUGAUUCAUAGUACAAGUAGAGGUUUGUAUGUACAGUAGUGUGUAAGCUACAGAAUACAAUGAAUUUGUAGUGGCAUGUUCACAUCAGAGGCCUAUAGAUUUGGAUAGAUAAUUUUAUAUCAAAGAGAACAUGAAAGAAAAUCUUAAUUUGUCAAACUUUGAAGUGGUUCAUUUUAAUAAAUAAGAAAUUGAAUAAUAUGAA